rnacentral:lncRNA from 10 species
UGCUGAGAGGGGUUUAGGAACAAGUUGAGGUGGCCCUGAAUGAAAAAAGUAAACAAUGUUUGGGCAGUUUUCCAGAUUCCCCAAGAAUGAACUUUCACAGAGCUUUGUGUGUGUGUGUGUGUGUGUGUGUGUGUGUGUGUGUGUGUGUGUGUGUGUGUGUAGAGAGAGAAUAUUACUAAAAUUAAUAGGAUACCACUUACAUCCAUAAACAAAUAUGUAAACAACUCAAAAACAAAUCCAGUGGGUUUUUUUUCAAAUGAGCUCUGACUUUUUAAUGCCAUUGAAUGUUUUCUCAUCUAUUAGUGUGAAUUGUUAAGAACUGGCUGUUCUCAUUAAAGUACAAAAUGCUAAUUAACUUUAAAAAGCUUCAGAAGAUAUAAUGUGAAAAAUAAAAGUAUUGAGUAAGAAUGCAAUUCUAUUAAGCAAUAUAUAUGACUGGACAGAUGUGAGCUAAAUUACCAGUUACCUCUAUGUGAUACAAUUAUGGGUAAUUUUAAUUUUCUUCAUUUUGUUUUACUCUGUUUUCAAAUAUCCUACAAAUGUGUAUUUUUAAUAAUAAUAAAAAUAAAUAUUGUUGC